UCUGCGCAGAGUGGACUCUCUUUUCCGACGAGGAGUGCUUCAGUCUUGGCAGCGACUUGCCGGAGGGAGUUUGAAGGAAUCUGAGGUGUAAAAGCGGCACUCGCUGGGGCUCCCACGGCGUGAGACGCGCUUCGGCCGCUGGGUCACAAACGUGGCCUGGGCACAGAAGGCUGCAGUGUGGAAUGGGGUCGAGGCCAAGUGGGAAGGGCUGUGAUGAUUCCCAACGAGCAGGGGAAGGGAGGAGCGGAUGGGGAGGACGAGGAGGUCGACG